rnacentral:lncRNA from 1 species
AAAUAUGUUAGUUAACAUGUUAAUUCUGAAAUGUUCUUACUAGCUUUCUUUUCCCUUGCAGAUAUGUCACAUAUGGAGUCUUAAUCACCAAGCAUGAGUAGAUGAGCUCAUUAAUAUGAUAAAGGUUAAAAAUGGAGGAGGAGAAAACAAAAACAAACAAACAAACAUGCCAGCAUCUUGUAGCAAAAGAUGUUGUCACCAGCUGAUCCUGUGUGCCCUUUCAUUUAUU